rnacentral:SRP_RNA from 1 species
AUGCUGUGAUGGCGUAUGGCAGAAGCGCGCAGAUUGUGUACUUUUGAUUCUUUAUUACAGUUUAAGUGUCCGGUUCGAUCUCUGCGGUCGCAAACUUGUGAAUUUGAGUAAUCAAUUCUUCAAGUUUCAGCAAUGAGUGGCAAUAUCGCUGGAGGGAAGCAAUUCAGCACAGCACGCUACCCGUAGAGAGGCGAAGCGGAUGGCACUUGGCUGGCUUUGGUAAGGAGUUAUAAGUAUCUUGUGUGUCGACUCCAAUUUU